rnacentral:rRNA from 1 species
GGUUGCGAUCAUACCAGCACUAAUGCAUUGGAUCUCAUCAUAACUCCGCAGUUAAGCGUGCUUGGGCGAGAGUAGUACUAGGAUGGGUGACCCCCUGGGAAGUCCUCGUGUUGCAACCC